rnacentral:rRNA from 1 species
GAUGAACGCUGGCGGCGUGCCUAAUACAUGCAAGUCGGACGGAGAGAUAGCAAUAUCACUUAGUGGCGAACGGGUGAGUAACGCGUUGGUGACCUGCCCCGAAGACAGGGAUAACAGCUCGAAAGGGCUGCUAAUACCGGAUGUGAUCAUGAGGAUUAGAUGCCUGAUGAUUAAAGGAGAAAUUCACUUUGGGAGGGAUCUGCGUCCCAUCAGCUAGUUGGUGAGGUAACGGCUCACCAAGGCUAUGACGGGUAGGGGACCUGAGAGGGUCGGCCCCCCACAAUGGUACUGAAACACGGACCAUACACCUACGGGAGGCUG